rnacentral:rRNA from 1 species
GACGAACGCUGGCGGCGUGCUUAACACAUGCAAGUCGAACGGAAAGGCCCUGCUUUUGUGGGGUGCUCGAGUGGCGAACGGGUGAGUAACACGUGAGUAACCUGCCCUUGACUGUGGGAUAACUUCAGGAAACUGGGGCUAAUACCGGAUAGGAGCUCCUGCUGCAUGGUGGGGGUUGGAAAGUUUCGGCGGUUGGGGAUGGACUCGCGGCUUAUCAGCUUGUUGGUGGGGUAGUGGCUUACCAAGGCUUUGACGGGUAGCCGGCCUGAGAGGGUGACCGGCCACAUUGGGCCUGCGAUACGGCCCAGACUCCUACGGGCGGCAGCAGUGGGGAAUAUUGCACAAUGGCCGGAAGCCUGAUGCAGCAACGCCGCGUGCGGGAUGACGGCCUUCGGGUUGUAAACCGCUUUCGCCUGUGACGAAGCGUGAGUGACGGUAAUGGGUAAAGAAGCACCGGCUAACUACGUG